UACGGAGGGUGCAAACGUUGCUCGGAAUAAUUGGGCGUAAAGCGCACGUAGGUGGCCUGUUAAGUCGGGUGUGAAAUCCCUGGGCUCAACCCAGGAAGUGCACUCGAAACUGGCAGGCUUGAGUACUGAAGAGGGUCGCGGAAUUCCCGGUGUAGAGGUGAAAUUCGUAGAUAUCGGGAGGAACACCAGUGGCGAAGGCGGCGACCUGGGCAGAUACUGACACUGAGGUGCGAAAGCGUGGGGAGCAAACAGG
rnacentral:rRNA from 1 species